rnacentral:rRNA from 1 species
AACAAACGCUGGCGGCGUGCCUAACACAUGCAAGUCGUACGAGAAAGGGUCCUUCGGGACCUGAGUAAAGUGGCGCACGGGUGAGUAACGCGUGGAUAAUCUGCCCUUCAGUUGGGAACAAAUCAUCGAAAGGUGGGCUAAUACCGAAUAACACUGUGAGACUUUGGUCGAGCAGUCAAAGAGAGCCUCUGCUUGCAAGCCCUCGCUGAAGGAUGAGUCCGCGUAGCAUUAGCUAGUUGGCAGGGUAAUGGCCUACCAAGGCGACGAUGGUUAGCGGGUCUGGUAGGAUGAUAAGCCAAACUGAACGGGAGUUCCGGUCCAGAGUCCGACGGGAGGCAGCAGUGAGGGAUCUUGCGCAAUUGGGAAACCCUGACGCAUCAACGCCGCGUGAGUGAGGAAGGUCUUCGGAUCGUAAAGCUCUGUCAGUUGGGAAGAAAUGCCUGAGGGUUAAUACCCUUCAGGCUUGACGGUACCAACAGAGGAAGCACCGGCUAACUCCGUGCCAGCCGCCGCGGUAA